AUCGACUGCUUGCUUGGCCUAUCUAAAGUUUCAGUUUAGGAUGCAGUGAUGGGUAGCCUGCACACCACUUUCGAUGGAGGUCAGGGAGGACAUAACCGCCAUCUGCAUGUCCAUUACCGAGAACGAAGGCUCUGGACAGCUCGUCCUUUGACAUCUCC